GUGGGGAAUCUUGCGCAAUGGGCGAAAGCCUGACGCAGCCAUGCCGCGUGAAUGAUGAAGGUCUUAGGAUUGUAAAAUUCUUUCACCGGGGACGAUAAUGACGGUACCCGGAGAAGAAGCUCCGGCUAACUUCGUGCCAGCAGCCGCGGUAAUACGAAGGGGGCUAGCGUUGCUCGGAAUUACUGGGCGUAAAGGGCGCGUAGGCGGGCAGCUUAGUCAGAGGUGAAAGCCCAGGGCUCAACCUUGGAAUUGCCUUUGAUACUGGCUGUCUUGAGUUUGGGAGAGGUGAGUGGAACUCCGAGUGUAGAGGUGAAAUUCGUAGAUAUUCGGAAGAACACCAGUGGCGAAGGCGACUCACUGGCUCAUUACUGACGCUGAGGCUCGAAAGCGUGGGGAGCAAACAGGAUUAGAAACCCGUGUAGUCC
rnacentral:rRNA from 1 species